AGUGAACGCUGGCGGUAGGCCUAACACAUGCAAGUCGAACGGCAGCACAGUAAGAGCUUGCUCUUACGGGUGGCGAGUGGCGGACGGGUGAGGAAUACAUCGGAAUCUACUUUUUCGUGGGGGAUAACGUAGGGAAACUUACGCUAAUACCGCAUACGACCUACGGGUGAAAGCAGGGGAUCUUCGGACCUUGCGCGAUUGAAUGAGCCGAUGUCGGAUUAGCUAGUUGGCGGGGUAAAGGCCCACCAAGGCGACGAUCCGUAGCUGGUCUGAGAGGAUGAUCAGCCACACUGGAACUGAGACACGGUCCAGACUCCUACGGGAGGCAGCAGUGGGGAAUAUUGGACAAUGGGCGCAAGCCUGAUCCAGCCAUACCGCGUGGGUGAAGAAGGUCUUCGGGUUGUAAAGCCCUUUUGUUGGGAAAGAAAAGCAGCAGGUUAAGACCCCGCUGUUCUGACGGUACCCAAAGAAUAAACACCGGCUAACUUCGU
rnacentral:rRNA from 1 species